AGCCGGCGUAGCCGCCGACGACCGCGCCGUUCGGGCUGGUGUUGGAGACGCCGGAACGGUUCUUGGCGUGGUUCCAGCCAUAGCCGGCCU
rnacentral:tRNA from 1 species